GGACUACCCGGGUAUCUAAUCCUGUUUGCUCCCCACGCUUUCGCGCCUCAGCGUCAGUAUCGGACCAGGUCGCCGCCUUCGCCACCGGUGUUCUUCCCAAUAUCUACGAAUUUCACCUCUACACUGGGAAUUCCACGACCCUCUUCCGAACUCAAGUCCGACUGUAUUAAGCGCAGUUCCUAGGUUGAGCCCAGGAAUUUCACGCCUAACUAAUCGAACCGCCUACGCGCCCUUUACGCCCAGUCAUUCCGAGCAACGCUAGCCCCCUUCGUAUUACCGCGGCUGCUGGCAC
rnacentral:rRNA from 1 species